UCGACGCGAGCACUUGUGCUCGAGUGGCGAACGGGUGAGUAAUACAUAAGUAACCUGCCCUAGACAGGGGGAUAACUAUUGGAAACGAUAGCUAAGACCGCAUAGGUACGGACACUGCAUGGUGACCGUAUUAAAAGUGCCUCAAAGCACUGGUAGAGGAUGGACUUAUGGCGCAUUAGCUGGUUGGCGGGGUAACGGCCCACCAAGGCGACGAUGCGUAGCCGACCUGAGAGGGUGACCGGCCACACUGGGACUGAGACACGGCCCAGACUCCUACGGGAGGCAGCAGUAGGGAAUUUUCGGCAAUGGGGGAAACCCUGACCGAGCAACGCCGCGUGAAGGAAGAAGGUUUUCGGAUUGUAAACUUCUGUUAUAAAGGAAGAACGGCGGCUACAGGAAAUGGUAGCCGAGUGACGGUACUUUAUUAGAAAGCCACGGCUAACUACGUGCCAGCAGCCGCGGUAAUACGUAGGUGGCAAGCGUUAUCCGGAAUUAUUGGGCG
rnacentral:rRNA from 1 species